UCGAGGAUCUUUGGCAAUGGGCGCAAGCCUGACCAAGCGACGCCGCGUGCGCGAUGAAGGCCUUCGGGUUGUAAAGCGCUGUCGAGGGGGAGGAAGCCGCAAGGUUGACCUAUCCCUGGAGGAAGGACGGGCUAAGUUCGUGCCAGCAGCCGCGGUAAGACGAACCGUCCUAACGUUGUUCGGAAUCACUGGGCUUAAAGGGCGCGUAGGCGGGCGAGCAAGUCCAGGGUGAAAUCUUUCGGCUUAACCGGAAAAUAGCCUUGGAUACUGCUUGUCUCGAGGGAGGCAGGGGCCGUUGGAACUUCCGGUGGAGCGGUGAAAUGCGUUGAUAUCGGAAGGAACGCCGGUGGCGAAAGCGAACGGCUGGUCCUCUUCUGACGCUGAGGCGCGAAAGCCAGGGGAGCAAACGG
rnacentral:rRNA from 1 species